rnacentral:rRNA from 1 species
GGAUACGAUCAUACCAGCACUAAAGCACCGGAUCCCAUCAGAACUCCGAAGUUAAGCGUGCUUGGGCGAGAGUAGUACUAGGAUGGUUGACCUCCUGGGAAGUCCUCGUGUUGCAUCCC